UUGGAGGGCAAGUCUGGUGCCAGCAGCCGCGGUAAUUCCAGCUCCAUUAGCGUAUAUUAAAGUUGUUGCAGUUAAAAAGCUCGUAGUUGAAUUUCGGGGUCAGUAGAUUGGUCAUGCCACUGGUAUGUACUGGUCUCACUGAUUCCUCCUUCCUGAUGAGCCGUAAUGCCAUUAAUUUGGUGUUGCGAGGAAUCUGGACUGUUACUUUGAAAAAAUUAGAGUGUUUAAAGCAGGCUAACGCUUGAAUACAUUAGCAUGGAAUAAUGAAAUAGGACGUUCGGUCUUAUUUUGUUGGUUUCUAAGAUUGACGUAAUGAUUAAUAGGGAUAGUUGGGGGCAUUAGUAUUCAAUUGUCAGAGGUGAAAUUCUUGGAUUUAUUGAAGACUAACUACUGCGAAAGCAUUUGCCAAGGAUGUUUUCAUUAAUCAAGAACGAAAGUUAGGGGAUCGAAGACGAUCAGAUACCGUCGUAGUCUUAACCAUAAACUAUGCCGACUAGGGAUCGGAUGAUGUUAAUUUUUUAAUGACUCAUUCGGCACCUUACGGGAAAC
rnacentral:rRNA from 1 species